rnacentral:lncRNA from 1 species
UUCAAUCAAAUUUCAUGGGUUUAACAUCAUCAUUUUCAUCAUUCCCACAAUUCAAUCAAAUUUCAUGGGUUUAACAUCAUCAUUUUUAUAAUUCCCACAAUUCAAUCAAAUUUCAUGGGUUUAACAUCAACAUUUUCAUCAUUCCCAUAAUUCAAUCAAAUUUCAUGUGUGUAACAUCAUCGUUUUCACCAUUCCCACAAUUCAAUCAAAUUUCAUGGGUUUAACAUCAUCAUUUUCAUUAUUCCCACAAUUCAAACAAAUUUCAUGGGUUUAACAUCAUCAUUUUUAUCAUUCCCACAAUUCAAUCAAAUUUCAUGGGUUUAACAUCAACAUUUCAU